rnacentral:lncRNA from 1 species
UUUCUUUUCUUCUUCUCUCUAUACGUUGGUGUUCUAACCAAUAAUCACCGAUGCGAUGUUCUGUCCGAUCGAUUCAGGAACCAACUAACGGAUGCCAAAGUACUAUACUUUGAGAGUUCGUUAAACGAAUGCCAAAGUGCUAUACUUUGAGAGUUCGUUAAACGGAUGCCAAAGUACUAUACUUUGUGAUUUCGGUAAACGGAAUCCAAAGUGUUACACUAUGUGAAAUUCGUUAAGGUUCGAAUCUCGUGACUAUCGUUAAGGUUUGAUUUGGGUUUUACACAAAUACGUAUUCCAUUCUGUUAAACUAUAUGUUUAACUACCAAAAAUACUCCCAACUACACACUCACAAUCAAACAAACUAUUAAAUCAUCAGAAGAUCCAGAAUAAUAAAGUGCAUGCUUAAUUAUCGGAAGAAGUAGAAUCAAGAAGCUUGCUAACUCAAUCUUGCAUGCUUAUAAAGUAAUUACAGUAGAUUGGAGUAAGGAUUGGAUCCAGCACUGAAGGACUUCAAGAAGUGGCUUAUUUUAUUAAUUAAAUCAAAUUAAGAAACAUUGUUUUUAUUAAAAGCUACCUUUGUAAAACAUGGAAUUUAUUCCAUCUAUUUAAAUAAAAUCCGGUGUUU